AGGGGGGAAGCCGAAAAACCUUUAAUAGAGUAAGCA
rnacentral:ncRNA from 1 species